UACGAAGGGUGCAAGCGUUACUCGGAAUUACUGGGCGUAAAGCGUGCGUAGGUGGUUUGUUAAGUCUGUUGUGAAAGCCCCGGGCUCAACCUGGGAAUGGCAAUGGAUACUGGCAGGCUAGAGUGCGGUAGAGGGUAGUGGAAUUCCCGGUGUAGCGGUGAAAUGCGUAGAGAUCGGGAGGAACACCGGUGGCGAAGGCGGCCAACUGGACAGAUACUGACGCUGAGACACGAAAGCGUGGGGAGCAAACAGG
rnacentral:rRNA from 1 species